ensembl:lncRNA
UCUACUGCAGGUGUUAUUCUUUCUUUCCGAUCUGUGCAGGUUUGUGAAGUGGGGGUGAUGACCACACCCCGCAGCAGCGCUGCGCUUUGCCUGCUGGGCCUGAGCCAACUGGCCCAGUAUGACAGUGACCCCAGCUCAGAAAGUGGUCAGGCAGCCAUGGCCGACGCCUGCCUCAGUUUUCAGGCUAGUAUCGCAUUGGAGGGAUCGGAAUUGACUGGAGAUCCUCCUGAGCAACUGACCAAGGUGCAGCCGCUAAGAGUGAUGGUGGAGGGAAGAGUGCAGCCAAGGCGAGUUCUAAAACUCAGCUGUCUUCCUGCAAGUCCAAACAGGAGUGCAGCCCUCCACAGGCUGAGCCAGCAGCAGCAUCAGUAAAAGAGGAGAGCAGUCUCAGUGGAGCGGCCACGCCAGCCAUUAUGAACGUGAAGUCGCAUGCUCCUCGGCUGGGAUUAGCCAGGGCCCUGUCUCGCUCCUCAGACUCGCACCAGCAGGCCUGCUGUCUCUACGAAGAAGUCAUCGCCAUGGCCCAAGAGGUCAAGUGAUAAAAAUCUAAUUUACCAAAAACGUCCUCCCCAGUUAAUCAACCAGACCUGUUUGAUGUUUGUACU